GUUUCCCGUAAGGCGCCGAAUGAGUCAUUAUAAAAUUAACAUCAUCCGAUCCCUAGUCGGCAUAGUUUAUGGUUAAGACUACGACGGUAUCUGAUCGUCUUCGAUCCCCUAACUCUCGUUCUUGAUUAAUGAAAACAUCCUUGGCAAAUGCUUUCGCAGUAGUUAGUCUUCAAUAAAUCCAAGAAUUUCACCUCUGACAAUUGAAUACUAAUGCCCCCAACUAUCCCUAUUAAUCAUUACAUCGAUCCUAGAAACCAACAAAAUAGAAUCUGAUGUCCUAUUUCAUUAUUCCAUGCUAAUGUAUUCAAGCGUAAGCCUGCUUUAAACACUCUAAUUUUUUCAAGGUAACAGUCCUAAUUCCCCAUAACAUCAAAUGAAUGACAUCAUGGUUCUUUAGAAGGUGAGAACCAAUAAAACCAGUACAUACCGAGGCAUGACCGAUUCCUUGAUCCCGAAAUUCAACUACGAGCUUUUUAACUGCAACAACUUUAAUAUACGCUAUUGGAGCUGGAAUUACCGCGGCUGCUGGCACCAGACUUGCCCUCCAA
rnacentral:rRNA from 1 species